rnacentral:rRNA from 1 species
AGCAGCCGCGGUAAUUCCAGCUCCAAUAGCGUAUAUUAAAGUUGCUGCAGUUAAAAAGCUCGUAGUUGAAUUUCGGGAUCAAUAUGUUGGUCGUGCCUCGGUACGUACUGGCUUAUUGGUUUCUCCCUUCUGACGAACCAUGAUGUCAUUUAUUUGGUGUUAUGGGGAAUCAGAACUGUUACUUUGAAAAAAUUAGAGUGUUUAAAGCAGGCUCACGCUUGAAUACAUUAGCAUGGAAUAAUGAAAUAGGACGUUUGAUUCUAUUUUGUUGGUUUCUAGGAUCGACGUAAUGAUUAAUAGGGAUAGUUGGGGGCAUUAGUAUUCAAUUGUCAGAGGUGAAAUUCUUGGAUUUAUUGAAGACUAACUACUGCGAAAGCAUUUGCCAAGGAUGUUUUCAUUAAUCAAGAACGAAAGUUAGGGAUCGAAGACGAUCAGAUACCGUCGUAGUCUUAACCAUAAACUAUGCCGACUAGGGAUCGGAUGAUGUUGAUUUUUUAAUGACUCAUUUGGCGCCUUACG